GAUAAACGCUGGCGGCGCACAUAAGACAUGCAAGUCGAACGAACUUAAUACCUUGCUUGCAAGGUAAGCGGUUAGUGGCGGACUGGUGAGUAACACGUAAGAAAUCUGCCUAUCAGAGGGGAAUAACAGUGAGAAAUCACUGCUAAUACCGCAUAUGCCAUAGGAAUCGCAUGAUUCUAGUGGGAAAGGAGCAAUCCGCUGAUAGAUGAGCUUGCGUCUGAUUAGCUAGUUGGUGGGGUAAAGGCCUACCAAGGCGACGAUCAGUAGCCGGACUGAGAGGUUGAACGGCCACAUUGGGACUGAGAUACGGCCCAGACUCCUACGGGAGGCAGCAGUCGGGAAUAUUGCGCAAUGGAGGAAACUCUGACGCAGUGACGCCGCGUAUAGGAAGAAGGUUUUCGGAUUGUAAACUAUUGUCCACAGGGAAGAUAAAAGACUGUACCUGUGAAGAAAGCUCCGGCUAACUACGUGCCAGCAGCCGCGGUAAUACGUAGGGAGCAAGCGUUAUCCGGAAUUAUUGGGUGUAAAGGGUGCGUAGACGGGAUAACAAGUUAGUUGUGAAACCCCCCGGCUCAACUGAGGAACUGCAACUAAAACUAUUAUUCUUGAGUGCAGGAGAGGAAAGUGGAAUUCCUAGUGUAGCGGUGAAAUGCGUAGAUAUUAGGAAGAACACCGGUGGCGAAGGCGACUUUCUGGACUGUAACUGACGUUGAGGCACGAAAGUGUGGGGAGCAAACAGGAUUAGAUACCCUGGUAGUCCACACUGUAAACGAUGGAUACUAGGUGUAGGAGAUAUUAAAGCUUUCUGUGCCGUCGCUAACGCAGUAAGUAUCCCACCUGGGGAGUACGACCGCAAGGUUGAAACUCAAAGGAAUUGACGGGGGCCCGCACAAGCAGUGGAGUAUGUGGUUUAAUUCGAAGCAACGCGAAGAACCUUACCAGGGCUUGACAUACAAGUGAAUGUCUAAGAGAUUAGGCAGUAUUUCGGUACACUUGUACAGGUGGUGCAUGGUUGUCGUCAGCUCGUGUCGUGAGAUGUUAGGUUAAGUCCUGCAACGAGCGCAACCCCUAUACUUAGUUGCCAGCACGUAAAGGUGGGAACUCUAAGUAGACUGCCGGUGAUAAAUCGGAGGAAGGUGGGGACGACGUCAAAUCAUCAUGCCCUUUAUGUCCUGGGCUACACACGUACUACAAUGGCUAUAACAAAGAGAAGCGAGACGGAGACGUUAAGCGAAACCCAAAAAAGUAGUCUCAGUUCGGAUUGAAGGCUGAAAUUCGCCUUCAUGAAGCCGGAAUUGCUAGUAAUGGCAGGUCAGCAUACUGCCGUGAAUACGUUCCCGGGCCUUGUACACACCGCCCGUCACACCAUGAGAGUUGGGAAUACCCGAAGCCUGUGAGCUAACGUAAGAGGCAGCAGUCGAAGGUAGAAUCAAUGAUUGGGGUG
rnacentral:rRNA from 1 species